rnacentral:rRNA from 1 species
CGUUCCCGGGUCUUGUACACACCGCCCGUCACACCAUGGGAGCGGGUUUUACCAGAAGUAGGUAGCCUAACCGCAAGGACGGGCGCUUACCACGGUAGGAUUCGUGACUGGGGUG